rnacentral:rRNA from 1 species
UAGAGUUUGAUCAUGGCUCAGGAUGAACCCUAGCGGCAGGCUUAAUACAUGCAAGUCGUGGGGCAGCAUGAGUAGCAAUACUUGAUGGCGACCGGCAAACGGGUGAGGAACACGUACACAACCUUCCUUCAAGCGGGGAAUAGCCCAGAGAAAUUUGGAUUAAUACCCCAUAAUAUAUUUGAUAAGGCAUCAUAUUAAUAUUAAAGCUUCGGCACUUGAUGAUGGGUGUGCGGCUGAUUAGAUAGUUGGCGGGGUAACGGCCCACCAAGUCUACGAUCAGUAGCUGAUGUGAGAGCAUGAUCAGCCACACGGGCACUGAGACACGGGCCCGACUCCUACGGGAGGCAGCAGUAAGGAAUAUUGGACAAUGGACGAAAGUCUGAUCCAGCCAUGCCGCGUGAAGGAUUAAGGUCCUCUGGAUUGUAAACUUCUUUUAUAUGGGACGAAAAAA